AUUUCCUUAUGAUUUUAUUCUCUUACAGUUUGCUCUCUAUCCAGUAGCAGUUGCGUUGCAAGUACAAUUCACAUCAUCAGUGCAACAGAGAGGUUAAAGAUGAGGUUGAGGUUAUCACUUGGCGUCAAGAAAUUGUAUAAUAUUCCUCCAAAUGAAGUGCUCAUGAUUAGGAGCAAAAUUCAAGAUCCGGGAUCCACGUGAGAUGCAAGAGCCUUUGCUCUAUUCAAGGAUUUAGGAAGCAUUGACCAGCUGCAUGGCAAGUACAACGAGCAUUAUCAGUACAACAAGGAGAUUCAAUCAAGGCAAGAAAUUCUACCAUAUUGUUCUGAAUGAAGAGGUAACUUUCCCUACUAUUACAUUAUCAAAUUAUUGCAUAAUGCUUUGGUUUCUACUAUUAUGGAGAUGAUCAAGGAUCUGUCGAGUAUUCUUGCAAAUCUGAAUGGAUAGACUUAAC